GAGUCUUUUAUACUAAAGCUAGCUCAAGCUGGUUUCUGUUCCUGCUGAAUAUUAGUUGACUUUGGAGGGCUGCCUUCAGUUGUUGGAGGAAUUCCCCCACUUAAGAGUCUUGGUGGGAAGCAGAGAGCACUUCCCACCAUAGAAGUUGAAAGUGUCAGGGAUGGUUGAGGACAUGACCCAGGUUCAACCAAUUAGAUAUGCAUAUGCCAUGAACCCAUCGUAAUAGUGGCGGCAAUAGCAGCAGCAUCCUGUGUCACCUGUGCUGGCUGUGUAAGCUAGGGUUUUCAGUGUCAGUGGCAUCCAUGCCAGGUUGGCGCUGUGUCAUCACCCAGACUGCUACCCUGGCCGAUGCCUGACCUUCCUUGUUACCUCCCUUUAUCUGGUGCCUCUUCUAUCAUUUUCCUGGCAUUUCUCUGAACCACUUGACAUGCUCUCAAUUGAUUCCUUUUCUGCUUAAAUCAGCCAGGACUGGUUUCUGUUGUCUGCAACUAAGAACUCCAGUGGCAAUUAAGAAACUUGCUUUUCUGGAGACAGGGUCUAUAACUCUCAUUAGCUCUUCA
rnacentral:lncRNA from 1 species